CUACGGGGUGCACCAGUGAGGAAUAUUGCACAAUGGGGGGAACCCUGAUGCAGCAACGCCGCGUGGAGGAUGACGCAUUUCGGGGUGUAAACUCCUUUUAUAUGUCAAGAAAAUGACGGUAGCAUAUGAAUAAGCACCGGCUAACUCCGUGCCAGCAGCCGCGGUAAUACGGAGGGUGCAAGCGUUACUCGGAAUCACUGGGCGUAAAGGACGCGUAGGCGGGUUGGAAAGUCAGGUGUGAAAUCCUACAGCUUAACUGUAGAACUGCACUUGAAACUUCUAAUCUAGAGUAUGGGAGGGGGAGAUGGAAUUAGUGGUGUAGGGGUAAAAUCCGUAGAUAUCACUAGGAAUACCUAAAGCGAAGGCGAUCCCCUGGAACAUUACUGACGCUAAGGCGUGAAAGCGUGGGGAGCAAACAGGAUUAGAUACCCUCGUAGUC
rnacentral:rRNA from 1 species